rnacentral:rRNA from 1 species
CCUACGGGAGGCUGCAGUGGGGAAUAUUGGACAAUGGGGGGAACCCUGAUCCAGCCAUGCCGCGUGUGUGAAGAAGGCCCUCGGGUUGUAAAGCACUUUCAGUGAGGAAGAACGCCUUGUGGGUAAUACCCAUCAGGAAAGACAUCACUCACAGAAGAAGCACCGGCUAACUCCGUGCCAGCAGCCGCGGUAAUACGGAGGGUGCGAGCGUUAAUCGGAAUUACUGGGCGUAAAGCGCGCGUAGGUGGCUUGAUAAGCCGGUUGUGAAAGCCCCGGGCUCAACCUGGGAACGGCAUCCGGAACUGUCAAGCUAGAGUGCAGGAGAGGAAGGUAGAAUUCCAGGUGUAGCGGUGAAAUGCGUAGAGAUCGGGAGGAAUACCAGUGGCGAAGGCGGCCUUCUGGACUGACACUGACACUGAGGUGCGAAAGCGUGGGUAGCAAACAGGAUUAGAUACCCCAGUAGUC